CCUGUAAAGUUGAGCAAUGCCAAAGGUAAAGCGUAAAGGUGGUUAACUCCCGUUAUCCCGCGUGCGACAAGAAUAAUCAGAUAAAUAAUUAAAGCUUGGGGCGCCAAGGAGCAAUUUAUUAUUGUUGUAAUGACACAAAAUAAUCCCUUACCUUUUGGGAAUGUUAUUAUCAAUACAGUGAUUGGACUGAUAUAAAUUUGGUAUAUUUAGGCCUAGCGUUAGAUAAUAUUGACGACGAUGACCACAAACGCUAUAAGCAGGAAUCUGUUAACAGCUGCAUCAACAUGUAUGCGAGGAAUCGGUUAAGCCAUGUCUGUAUCAGAGACCUGCAUGGCUCAUUGUUUUCUUGAGUUGUUCAUACGCUAAAUUUCUUGCUCACAUUCAGUCAAUUGAACCAAAAUAUUUGGUCAAGUGCAGUCAGCUCAUGCAGGCGAACGCGUAGUUCAGCUCAGUCAACACGUAUGAUCUAAUGUCUUCAGCUCAAAUCUAAUCAUUGAACAAAAAGCAGCAUUGAAUGAAAUUAGCAUCGGCCUUUGCGUUCAAACGAUCAAACUUGUUCAAAGAAGUAAUUGUCAUUAAUGUAAAUAGCACAUGUUCGAGCAAACGAGCGUUGGCGUACAAUGUACGCUGUAAAUUGCGUUUCGUAUUUGAAAGGAUUAGUUGGUUUCAGCAAUGUUUCCUUAUUUACAUUAUUUUCUUUCGUGUUUUAUUAUAAGUUUUAAGAAAAAAAACAAAUAUGAAAAUAUAGUGUUUUUGCUUUUACUUUGCUAUCGUUAGUUACAAGCAAAAACUCAUGCGGGAUCAUACGUGUUCAAACCGGCUCAUUUGGCUCUAUAGCCCUUUUAUUCUUGCUCAAAAAAAUGAAUGUAUAGCCGAACGAGCAAAUACCCGAAACGGCUGCUAUGAAGACGAUUGGUGAUAACAUCGGAGAGCUAAAACGCAGCAAAUGAUUUGAUUGAGCUGAAAUAAACAAUGACAAUAACUAAUUUGAACAAGUUCGAUCGUUUGAACGCAAAGGCCUGUUUUUUUGUUCAAGCGAAGCGUAUGAAUGUUUUACACUGAGCCGGUGCAGUUCUCUGGUCUGUAUAUGCUUUGGAUAUAAACUUGGGUCGUUUCGGCUGGACUGAAUUUAUUAGGUGGAGAUUCCCAUGACAAAGUGAUUUAAAGUAUUACUUUGUUAACGGUACUAUUAAGUAAAAACAUCUUAAUUUUAUGAAAUAAUAUAUGUACAUCU